UACGUAGGGGGCAAGCGUUGUCCGGAAUCAUUGGGCGUAAAGCGCGUGUAGGCGGCUUGGUAAGUCUGCUCUGAAAGCCCGGGGCUCAACCCCGGGAGGCGGGUGGAUACUGUCAAGCUCGAGUCCGGAAGAGGAGUGUGGAAUUCCUGGUGUAGCGGUGAAAUGCGCAGAUAUCAGGAAGAACACCGAUGGCGAAGGCAGUUCUCUGGGACGGUACUGACGCUGAGACGCGAAAGCGUGGGGAGCGAACAGG
rnacentral:rRNA from 1 species